AGAUGCGAUCAUACCAGCACUAAAGCACCGGAUCCCAUCACAACUCCGAAGUUAAGCGUGCUUGGGCGAGAGUAGUACUAGGAUGGGUGACCUCCUCGGAAGUCCUCGUGUUGCAUUCC
rnacentral:rRNA from 16 species